AGAGCGUUUAAAUGGAUCCCUGAACCUGACCUCCGCAAAAUUGAUUAAGCACAUUUGGAACAUGGUGGCAUGGAUUCAACAUGAACUGCCUGAAGACCAGAACCACAUGUUGAAUUACAACCCAAAUCUUUACUGGAGGAAAGACAAUGGUGGCUGCAAGCCAGAACUACUGGUCAACAUUACUGGCACCUCUGAAUAUUUAGUAGACCAUGAAAAAUAUCUCCUGAAAUAAAGUGUGUUGUGAAACUG